rnacentral:rRNA from 1 species
AGCGAACGCUGGCGGCAGGCUUAACACAUGCAAGUCGAGCGGGCACUUCGGUGUCAGCGGCAGACGGGUGAGUAACACGUGGGAACGUACCCUUUGGUUCGGAAUAACGCUGGGAAACUAGCGCUAAUACCGGAUACGCCCUUUUGGGGAAAGGCCUGCUGCCGAAGGAUCGGCCCGCGUCUGAUUAGCUAGUUGGUGGGGUAAUGGCCUACCAAGGCGACGAUCAGUAGCUGGUCUGAGAGGAUGAUCAGCCACACUGGGACUGAGACACGGCCCAGACUCCUACGGGAGGCAGCAGUGGGGAAUAUUGGACAAUGGGCGCAAGCCUGAUCCAGCCAUGCCGCGUGAGUGAUGAAGGCCUUAGGGUUGUAAAGCUCUUUUGUCCGGGACGAUAAUGACGGUACCGGAAGAAUAAGCCCCGGCUAACUUCGUG